rnacentral:rRNA from 1 species
AGUCGAGCGGAUGAAGGGAGCUUGCUCCCGGAUUUAGCGGCGGACGGCCGAUUAAUGCCUAGGAAUCUGCCUGGUAGUGGGGGACAACGACUCGAAAGGGUCGCUAAUACCGCAUACGUCCUACGGGAGAAAGUGGGGGAUCUUCGGACCUCACGCUAUCAGAUGAGCCUAGGUCGGAUUAGCUAGUAGGUGAGGUAAUGGCUCACCUAGGCAACGAUCCGUAACUGGUCUGAGAGGAUGAUCGGUCACACUGGAACUGAGACACGGUCCAGACUCCUACGGGAGGCAGCAGUGGGGAAUAUUGGACAAUGGGCGAAAGCCUGAUCCAGCCAUGCCGCGUGUGUGAAGAAGGUCUUCGGAUUGUAAAGCACUUUAAGUUGGGAGGAAGGGUUGUAGUUUAAUACGCUGCAAUCUUGACGUUACCAACAGAAUAAGCACCGGCUAACUCUGUGCCAGCAGCCGCGGUAAUACAGAGGGUGCAAGCGUUUAUCGGAAUUACUGGGCGUAAAGCGCGCGUAGGCGGCUUGAUAAAAUGGGAGUGAAAUCCCCGGGCUUAACCUGGGAACUGCAUCCAUAACUGUCUGGCUAGAGUACAGUAAAAGGUGGGGGAAUUUCCUGUGUAGCGGUGAAAUGCGUAAAUUUUGGGAGGGAACACCCGUGGCGAAGGCGACCACCUGGACUGAUACUGACCCUGAGGGGCAAAAGCGUGGGGGAGCAAACGGAUUAAAUUCCCCGGGUAGUCCACCCCGAAAACAAUGUCUACUAGCCUUUGGAAUCCUUGAAAUUUUAUGGGC